UACGUAGGGUGCGAGCGUUGUCCGGAAUUAUUGGGCGUAAAGGGCUCGUAGGCGGUUUGUCGCGUCGGGAGUGAAAACACUGGGCUUAACUCAGUGCUUGCUUUCGAUACGGGCAGACUAGAGGUAUGCAGGGGAGAACGGAAUUCCUGGUGUAGCGGUGAAAUGCGCAGAUAUCAGGAGGAACACCGGUGGCGAAGGCGGUUCUCUGGGCAUUACCUGACGCUGAGGGACGAAAGCUAGGGGAGCGAAUGGG
rnacentral:rRNA from 1 species